AAGAUGUCAUGUCCAUCUACAACUAAAAAUAUAUUUUUUAAAAAACCACAGAGUACAGUCCUUCAAGGGUAAAAACGACAAUCUGGGGAGUGUUUGAUAGUUGAGUAUAGCUGAGAACCUAGGCAGGGGAACCUUUCCACACUUCUGAGGUGAUUCCUGGUCUGCAAACCAGAUGAGAAAUGCUUAUCCUUGCUAAAAUGUCUAAUUAAUAAUGCUAUAGCUCUGCUUUGCAUUAAUUUGGUGUGUUUGAUUCUGUUAAUAUAGUUGAUGAAGAUUUGCUUCCUGUUUUUUUUUCUUUUUAGCUAUGAAAAACCUCCUCCUGGACUUAUCAAGGAAGAUGAGACUAAGCCAGAAGACUGUAUUCCUGAUGUACUAGGCAAUGAGCAUGCCCAGGAAUUUCUGGCUCACACACCAACUGAAGGACUUUGAUGCCACUGGGGAAAGAAGUCAAAGUUUUGCAAUGUGGGUGUGGAAGAGUUUAAAUAACACUUUUUGGUCUUA